rnacentral:rRNA from 1 species
AAUAUUGGACAAUGGGGGCAACCCUGAUCCAGCCAUGCCGCGUGUGUGAAGAAGGUCUUCGUAUUGUAAAGCACUUUAAUUUGGGAGGAAGGGCUUUAGGCUAAUACCCUGAAGUUUUGACGUUACCAACAGAAUAAGCACCGGCUAACUCUGUGCUAGCAGCCGCGGUAAUACAGGGGGUGCAAGGGUUAAUCGGAAUUACUGGGCGUAAAGCGCGCGUAGGUGGUUCAGUAAGAUGGGGAUGAAAUCCCCGGGCUUAACCUGGGAACUGCUUUCAUAAAUGCUGAGCUAGAGUACGGUAGAGAGUAGUGGAAUUUCCUGUGUGGCGGUGAAAUGCGUAGAUAUAGGAAGGAACACCAGUGGCGAGGGCGACCACCUGGACUGAUACUGACACUGAGGUGCGAAAGCGUGGGGAGCAAACA